rnacentral:rRNA from 1 species
UUGAUCGCUAGCGGCAUGCCUAACACAUGCAAGUCGAACGGGACAGCGCGGAGAGAACUUGUUUUUCUCUAGCGAGUUGAGUGGCGAACGGGUGAGUGAUGCGUAUGAAUCUACCUUUUAGAGGGGGAUAACCCGAGGAAACUCGGGCUAAUACCGCGUAGUAUCUCUUUUCAUAGAAAAGUUGAAGAAAGCGGGGGAUCCUUGAGUUUUUUUAAGGACCUCGCGCUAAAAGAUGAGCCUGCGUCGGAUUAGUUAGUUGGUGGGGUAAUAGCCCACCAAGACGAUGAUCCGUAGCUGGUCUGAGAGGAUGAUCAGCCACACUGGGACUGAGACACGGCCCAGACUCCUAUGGGAGGCAGCAGUGGGGAAUAUUGGACAAUGGGGGAAACCCUGAUCCAGCAAUGCCGCGUGUGUGAAGAAGGCCUUCGGGUUGUAAAGCACUUUCAGCAGGAAAGAAAGUCUUAAAGUUAAUACCUUUAAUGAGUUGACGUUACCUGCAGAAGAAGCACUGGCUAACUCUGUGCCAGCAGCCGCGGUAAUACAGAGAGUGCAAGCGUUAAUCGGAAUUACUGGGCGUAAAGCGCGCGUAGGUGGAUAUUAAGGUCGGGUGUGAAAGCCCCGAGCUUAACUCGGGAAUUGCGUUCGAUACUGAGUAUCUAGAGUAUAGUAGAGGGAAGUGGAAUUUCCGGUGUAGCGGUGAAAUGCGUAGAUAUCGGAAGGAACACCAGUGGCGAAGGCGGCUUCCUGGACUAAUACUGACACUGAGGUGCGAAAGCGUAGGGAGCAAACAGGAUUAGAUACCCUG